AUUGAACGCUGGCGGCAUGCCUUACACAUGCAAGUCGAACGGCAGCAUGGAGAGCUUGCUCUCUGAUGGCGAGUGGCGAACGGGUGAGUAAUGCAUCGGAACGUACCGUGUAAUGGGGGAUAACGUAGCGCAAGUUACGCUAAUACCGCAUACGACCUGAGGGUGAAAGCAGGGGAUCGCAAGACCUUGCGUUAUACGAGCGGCCGAUGUCAGAUUAGCUAGUUGGUGAGGUAAAGGCUCACCAAGGCGACGAUCUGUAGCGGGGCUGAGAGGAUGAUCCGCCACACUGGGACUGAGACACGGCCCAGACUCCUACGGGAGGCAGCAGUGGGGAAUUUUGGACAAUGGGGGCAACCCUGAUCCAGCCAUGCCGCGUGAGUGAAGAAGGCCUUCGGGUUGUAAAGCUCUUUCGGCCGGGAAGAAAUCGCACAGGCUAAUACUCUGUGUGGAUGACGGUACCGGCAUAAGAAGCACCGGCUAACUACGUGCCAGCCGCCGCGGUAA
rnacentral:rRNA from 1 species